rnacentral:rRNA from 1 species
GACGAACCGUGCGAACGUUAUUCGGAAUCACUGGGCUUAAAGCGCGUGUAGGCGGGAGGGCACGUCCGUCGCUGAAAUCCCCCGGCUCAACCGGGGAACGGGCGCGGAUACGACCUUCCUCGAGGGGCGUAGGGGGACCUGGAACUUCCGGUGGAGCGGUGAAAUGCGUUGAGAUCGGAAGGAACGCCCGUGGCGAAAGCGAGGUCCUGGACGCCUACUGACGCUGAGACGCGAAAGCCAGGGGAGCGAACGGG